AGUGGGGUAAAGCAAUGGUAGCUUAUGCGGCUCAUAACCGCAUUGUUGAAGGUUCAAGUCCUUCCCCCACCA
rnacentral:tRNA from 1 species